UGCAGUGCUUUGUUGAGAUGUCCAACUGA
rnacentral:piRNA from 1 species